rnacentral:rRNA from 1 species
UACGAAGGGGGCGAGCGUUGUUCGGAUUUACUGGGCGUAAAGGGCGCGUAGGCGGCGGGUCAAGUCGAGUGUGAAAGCCCCGGGCUCAACCUGGGAAUUGCGCUCGAGACUGGUCUGCUUGAGUUCGGGGGAGGAGAGUGGAAUUCCCAGUGUAGAGGUGAAAUUCGUAGAUAUUGGGAAGAACACCGGUGGCGAAGGCGGCUCUCUGGACCGAGACUGACGCUGAGGCGCGAAAGCGUGGGGAGCAAACAGG